CGGAACGAAUUCUAAGUUUUUCUCAGCUUUGGGAGGUUGCGCAGGUGGCUUCUGGGAGCCAAGGCAACUGAGGUUUUCCCAGGCUCCUUGAGAGAGUGCCCUAUUUCCCCGGCAGCAGUAGCUCCAGGGUCCCGCUCUGCAGUCCGUAAUGAGAGGCCUCGGGCUCCGCGGGGAAGCGUCGCAGUUCGUGGAAGAGUCCCGAGCGCAGCAAAUCCGCUCGCUCCCCGCGGGGCCGCCGCUCUCGCUCGCACUCUUGCUCUCGGUCCGGGAACCGGAAUGGCCUGGGCCCCCAGCGGAGUGGCCUCAGCCUGGCCUCCCGGAACCAGCCCUGCCGACCCGUUCGCGGUCACGUUCUCCGGAGCGGCCCCCUGCGCCGCGGGGCACCCCCUUCGCCUCUGCCUCCUCGUCCGCCUGUCGCGGCCGCUCCCCGCGCCCCUCCGGGACCGAUAAGCCGUGGGUCUCUGGGACAAGGAGAGGGAGAGGAAAGGCCAUGUAAGGACACAGGGAGAAGUCACCAGUCUGCAAGCCAGGAAAUUUCUACCAGAAAUCAGUCCUGAUCUUGGACUACUAACCUCCAGUAUGUGAUCUCUACACCCACCAUGGGGCUCAAACUCACAACCCUGAGAUCAAGAGGCAUGUGCUGUACCAAUUGAGCCAGCCAGGCACCCCACCUCUCAUCUGCUUCCAUGUUUACUUUAGGUUGAGUUCAGACAAUGUGCUUUGUUCAGCUUUGAUGAACACACACCAGUAGAGAUGAAGAGCCGAAGAAAAGCACCACUUCUGUUUCUACUUCAAAAGAAGAAGAAGAGGAAGUCUAGUCAUUCAAAAGAAAGGUCCAAGAAAAAGAAAAAGAAAAAAUCAUCUAAAAGAAAACGCAAGAAGUAUUCUGACAGCGACAGUGACUCUGACUCUGAAACGGACUCCAGU